rnacentral:rRNA from 1 species
GACGAACGCUGGCGGCGUGCUUAACACAUGCAAGUCGAACGGAGUGGCGAACGGGUGAGUAACACGUUGGUGACCUUCCCUGCACUUCGGGAUAAGCCUGGGAAACUGGGUCUAAUACCGGCUAGUGUGGGAUGGGCCCGCGGCCUAUCAGCUUGUUGGUGGGGUAAUGGCCUACCAAGGCGGCGACGGGUAGCCGGCCUGAGAGGGUGGACGGCCACAUUGGGCCUGAGACAGGCAGCAGAGUGCUAUGGGAGGCAGCGGGGGGGAAGAUUGCACAAUGGGCGGAAGUGUGAUGCAGCGACGCCGGGUGGGGGAUGACGGCCUUCGGGUUGUAAACGCCUUUCUCCAAAUACGCGGUAGAUGGAGAAGAAGCACCGGCUAACUACGUGCCAGCAGCCGCGGUAAUAC